rnacentral:rRNA from 1 species
UGGGGAAUAUUGGGCAAUGGGGGAAACCCUGACCCAGCAACGCCGCGUGAGUGAAGAAGGUUUUCGGAUUGUAAAACUCUGCCCUUGGGGACGAAGAAUGACGGUACCCAAGGAGGAAGCCCCGGCUAACUACGUGCCAGCAGCCGCGGUAAUACGUAGGGGGCGAGCGUUGUCCGGAAUUACUGGGCGUAAAGGGCGCGUAGGCGGCAGAUUAAGUCUUGUGUGAAAACCCCAUUUUCAAGGUGGGAGGUGCACAGGAAACUGGUUUGCUUGAGUGCAGGAGAGGGAAGCGGAAUUCCAAGUGUAGCGGUGAAAUGCGUAGAGAUUUGGAGGAACAUCAGUGGCGAAGGCGGCUUUCUGGACUGUAACUGACGCUGAGGCGCGAGAGCGUGGGGAGCAAACAGGAUUAGAUACCCUGGUAGU